rnacentral:rRNA from 1 species
UCCUUAUACAUGCAGUCGAACGAUGAAGCCUUUCGGGGUGGAUUAGUGGCGAACGGGUGAGUAACACGUGGGCAAUCUGCCCUUCACUCUGGGACAAGCCCUGGAAACGGGGUCUAAUACCGGAUAACACUCUGUCCCGCAUGGGACGGGGUUAAAAGCUCCGGCGGUGAAGGAUGAGCCCGCGGCCUAUCAGCUUGUUGGUGGGGUAAUGGCCUACCAAGGCGACGACGGGUAGCCGGCCUGAGAGGGCGACCGGCCACACUGGGACUGAGACACGGCCCAGACUCCUACGGGAGGCAGCAGUGGGGAAUAUUGCACAAUGGGCGAAAGCCUGAUGCACCGACGCCGCGUGAGGGAUGACGGCCUUCGGGUUGUAAACCUCUUUCAGCAGGGAAGAAGCGAAAGUGACGGUACCUGCAGAAGAAGCGCCGGCUAACUACGUGCCAGCAGCCGCGGUAAUACGUAGGGCGCAAGCGUUGUCCGGAAUUAUUGGGCGUAAAGAGCUCGUAGGCGGCUUGUCACGUCGGAUGUGAAAGCCCGGGGCUUAACCCCGGGUCUGCAUUCGAUACGGGCUAGCUAGAGUGUGGUAGGGGAGAUCGGAAUUCCUGGUGUAGCGGGUGAAAUGCGCAGAUAUCAGGAGGAACACCGGUGGCGAAGGCGGAUCUCUGGGCCAUUACUGACGCUGAGGAGCGAAAGCGUGGGGGAGCGAAAAGGAAUUAGAUUCCCUUGGGUAAUUCCACGGC